rnacentral:tmRNA from 1 species
GGGGAUGCUAGGCUUCGACAAGGUACAUUAACAAAGUGUUUAUAUAGGUCGCGGUGCGCUUUACCUCCGCGUUAUCAAAAGAAAAAGCAAACAUAGAUGCCAAUACAUUUGCAUCACGAUUGAAGGCUGCCUUUGGCGGUCCUUCUCUCGUUCCAGUAAUGGCCUAAUAUAGGCCGCUACUCAUCACUGUCUUUGAGGUUACAUAGGAGACAUUGGUGUUAUAUUUUGUAACUACCGGAAUUUGCGGCCCGCAAAUUCUUGGAAAACCUUCGGGCUUGAAGGCAAUUUGUUUUCGUUCACUUUGAUAAAUUGCCUCGACUAAAAAUCAAGUGAACUAAACCUAUGACCAAAACCUUUGUAAUUACUUUUGGACGCGGGUUCAAUUCCCGCCAUCUCCACCA